GUUCCUGUUGAAGGGCGGUCCUAUCCCAACGUAGAUAAUUGGUGGUUAGGCGAUGAUUCCACCGUGAUAGGCGAUGCCUCGGACGUGCAUCGACCUUGCCUCGGCCGUGCCUAGACCUUGCCUCGGCCAUGCCUAGACUUGCCUCGGCCGUACCUCGACCUUGCCUCGGGUCUCUCGGCCGCGUAUCUCGGACGUGACCUCAGGUCCAGGGAUGGUGGACAUCUGUACGAUACUUCCAUUGGUACUGGUAUAUAAGGCACGAGUUGUGCUAGUCUUUGUAUCUCAUCUUUGUAUGGAUCGGUAUUCCUCAGUAGGAAUCUCCUAAAGUCUUCCAGCCGUUUACCACUCACCUUCCGAUUAUAAUACUUAUAUCGCGACCAGUCUCCUUGCCUCCUUCAUAUUCUUAACAGGUUAUGAGCCCCGGCUCACGCUAAGCAGCAACUACCUCUAAUACUCGUAUUCCACAAUGGGGAAGGACAAGCUUGACGAGCCGCUGGACUUGAACAACUACGCCACCUGGCAAAUUCGGUUCAGCGCGCUGUGUAUGGAGCUUGGGCUUGAGCAGUCCUUGCUCGCCGAGCCGGGAAACGAGGAGCAGAUUCGACAAUCUCGUAAGGUUAUCAACCUGCUCAUCAAGAAUGUUAAAGAUCACCAUUUGCCGAUGGUUACGGGUGCUGCAAACGCGAAGAGGGCAUGGGACGCUCUGGCCACGAUGUUUGUUGCUAACAAUAACGCACGCAAGGUAACUCUCCGUCAAGAGUUCAGCCGUUUCAAGAUGGUCGACGGCGAGCCGCUACCGAAGUACGGCACGUGCGCGGCAAUUACAGUCAGACUUGUUGGGAGUGGGGCACGUUAUCAGCGACUCGGAGCUGGCAUACACAGUGCUGGUUGGUCUACCCAGCCGCUUCAACGUGGUAACGACGUCCCUGCUGGUGCGUGACGGCGAUUUGGACAUGGCGAGCGUCACCUCUAAGCUUUUGGCUAUCGAGGUGGCAAGCGGUGGGUCUAGUAAGCCUACCGAGUCGGCAGCUAUUGCUUCUGUCGGCGGUCUCACGUUUGGCGCCUCUGGUUCUGGUCUUAGGAGUCACGGCGCGGCCAGCAGCAGUUCUGGCGGUUCCCCCAAACAUUUGUUUUGUCACUAUUGCAAAAAGCCCGGGCACGAUAUUAAGGACUGCAGGAAGUUGAAGGCACUAAAGCAGUUGUCCAUUUCCGGCAGUGGACAUGGUAAGGGUGGUGGUGGCAGCGGAGCUAGCGGCAGCAAGCCUGGGCCCGGUGGGUCUGGAAGGGGAUCAGGAAUCCCACGGCAGGUAGCGUUCACAGCUUACAGCGGUGAGCGUCCGCAGGGGUGGUUCCUGGACUCAGCCGCCACUCACCACAUAACGUAUGACCGCUCAGAACUUCUCAACGUGCGGUUGUUGGAGCCGUGGGAGCGCUUCAACAUCAUGGGCAUUAAGGGACAGUCUCUUCGGCCGACUGAAGUUGGCACGCUUAUGAUUCGGUCUAAUGUCAACGAUAAACAGGCCAUCACCUUUAAGAAGGUCUACGUCGAUGAGGAGGCCACCGCCAAAAUCAUAUCGGUCCGCAUCAUUGAUGAUCGUGGAGGCAGUGUGGUCUUCGGCGGUGGACAGGUGAAAGUAUACAUACAGAACCAGUUGGUGCUGACUGGAAAGCGGGAUGGGGACUUGUAUCCCGUCUGCUACAGCAGUGGAGGUACGGGCGCUCUGAAGUGGACGCAGCGUGAAGACAACAGGAUGCCUUCUGGUGGUGGUGCAGUGUGUACUGCCGUGAGUAUCGGAGCUGAACGUGCAGCACUUUGGCACCGACGGUAUGGCCACUUGGGUUACAGCAACCUUGAGGCGUUGCUGCGUCACAAUAUGGUAACUGGGUUGGAUGUUGACCGACACAGCAUACAAUCAGCCAGUGCGUGUGUGUGUGAGACUUGCGUCCUUGCAAAGCAUACACGUGGUCCUUUUCCGUUAACUGGGCAUAAGGCAGCGCAGCCUCUCGCGCUCAUUCACAUGGAUGUGUGUGGGCCUAUGCCUGAACCUUCACCAAAUGGUUCGCGUUACGUGACCACCCUUCUUGAUGACCACACCGGUCUGUCAGCUGUUGCGUUUACGGCGACCAAGGAGGAGAUAUAUCAGAAGGUGGUGGUGAUGAUAGCGGACCUGGAACGGGCAUCUGGUCGGCAGGUAAAGGAGGUGCGCACGGAUCGUGGCGGGGAGUUUGUGAAUACUCGCACGAAAAACUACUUUGCGUCAAGGGGUAUAAUGCACGGAACUACGGCGGGCUACACUCCUGAGCAGAACGGUGCAGCAGAACGCCUGAACCGCACUCUUCUAGACAAGGCCAGGUCAUUGGCCAGCCGACACUCAUAUACCAGUGAAUGGUAACCACAGUAAUAGGACCCAACGGGGUCCGGCGCUUUGCUGGUCUUAACAGGUUACGAGCCCCGAAUGGCGCAUUGCGCUGCCGAAAGGUCGCCGGAUCGAUACCCACUGGCUGUUGCCCAGAGAAUGGGAGACCGGGAUGAGGCACGGGAAGGCCCGGAGCGAGAGAGUGUCGCUCACGGGGGUGUGUUGGAAAUGACCGACACUCAUAUACCAGUGAAUGGUAACCACAGUAAUAGGACCCAACGGGGUCCGGCGCUUUGCUGGUCUUAACAUGUACUGUACGAGGACGGCGUCGUCGCCGUUGUCUCGAGUGUCCGCUUUGAUGAGUCUAAUGUCGGCCGGCGGCGUAGUGCCGGGGACUCCGAUUAUGGGUCCGAUGCCGAUGAGGAGGAGGAUGUUCGCACUAACUUGCCUGGUGAGGGGUCGCUGCCUAGGGCUGGCGAAGGAACAUCAGGCAAUACCGUCGGCGAGGGAUCGCCGCCUUUGGGUGGCGAGGGGGCGCCGGCUGGGGCUGGACCUUCCAGCAGUGCGAACGUGCAAGAUAACACUCCGCCUGAUGUGGAAAUGGCAGGGACCCGGUACCCAGUUAGAGAGUGUAAACGCCCUGGCGAGUGGUGGCGAAACGAGCCUGGUCGCACUGUUACUGGUCGCAUUAAUGCUGCUUUUUCUGCUGUCAUUCCUGAACCGAAUUCGUUUGCGGAAGCAAUUGCGAGUCCACAUGCAGACGAUUGGCGGCGUGCGAUUGUUGAGGAAACGGUCCUCUCCCAACUCGUGUGGUUGUCGACCAGGGGAUUUGACCCCGGGUCUGCACCUGACUAAUGGGGAAAUCUUACCCCAGAACCUUAUGGGGCUACCGAUGCAUAUCCGGUAGCUAAGUGAUAGACAUUAGGGCACCGUCUGGACGGCGCAGUGAGAUCGCGGAAUGUACGUGCAGUUAGAUCGCGGAAUGUACGAGUUUUCCGCUAGCGCCGGUAUUUAGGGCGGUGACUGCGCCUAUUAGUUUAUCUCACAACGAUCGGUAUUCCUACCAGGAAUCUCCUCAAGUCCUGCCGAACGCUAACAAUACUCUUUACAUUACUUGUAACAGUUUAUCGUGCUAAAUAUCUUCGCCACCGGCAAUCCUUCCGGAAUAACAAUUAGCGUUAGCUGUCACCGUCGCCAAUUCUUCAAUAGGUUAUGAGCCCCGAUUAGCGCCGACAGUUAUCGCCCAAUUGUUAUUUCUAUCCCUCAUCAACAAUGGUUAAGGACAAGCUUGAUGAGUCGCUGGAUCUCAACAACUACUCUACCUGGCAAAUUCGAUUUAGCGCGAUGUGCAUGGAGCUUGGGCUUGAGCAAUCCCUGCUCGCCGAGCCGUGCAACGAGGAGCAGAUUCGACAGUCACGGAAGGUCAUCAAUCUGCUCAUCAAGAACGUCANNNNNNNNNNNNNNNNNNNNNNNNNNNNNNNNNNNNNNNNNNNNNNNNNNACUCCCGGGGGCGCUUAGCUUGGGAAACAACCCGAUUACGUCUGCUCGGUCGAAGCACAUCGACGUGCAGCAUCACAUAGUGCGUGAGAGGGUGAAUAGCGGUGAGGUGCAGUUGGAAUACUGCCCUACGGAGUGGAUGGUUGCGGAUGUACUAACAAAGGCUCUGGGCGAGGUGAAGUUCAAACGUUGCCGAGAUGCUAUGGGCCUUGUGUGAAGUAUGCAGAUGAACUUGGUACUCGUUGGGAUACGGCCCGAGGGGGCGUGUUGAGGAAACGGUCCUCUCCCAACUCGUGUGGUUGUCGACCAGGGGAUUUGACCCCGGGUCUGCACCUGACUAAUGGGGAAAUCUUACCCCAGAACCUUAUGGGGCUACCGAUGCAUAUCCGGUAGCUAAGUGAUAGACAUUAGGGCACCGUCUGGACGGCGCAGUGAGAUCGCGGAAUGUACGUGCAGUUAGAUCGCGGAAUGUACGAGUUUUCCGCUAGCGCCGGUAUUUAGGGCGGUGACUGCGCCUAUUAGUUUAUCUCACAACGAUCGGUAUUCCUACCAGGAAUCUCCUCAAGUCCUGCCGAACGCUAACAAUACUCUUUACAUUACUUGUAACAGUUUAUCGUGCUAAAUAUCUUCGCCACCGGCAAUCCUUCCGGAAUAACAAUUAGCGUUAGCUGUCACCGUCGCCAAUUCUUCAAUAGCGAUGGACGAGGAGAUCGCCGCCCAGAUGGCUAACAGUACUUGGGAGCUGAAAACGCCACCUCCAGGUACUCAUUUACUGCCGUGUCGUUGGGUGUAUAAGGUUAAGUACAACGAUGACGGCAGCGUGGAGCGUUUUAAGGCGCGAUUGGUUGCAAAGGGUUUCGAGCAACGCGAGGGGAUUGAUUAUGGGGAGUUGUUUGCACCUACCUCACGUGGUUCGUCAUUACGUGCUUUAUUAGCAGUUGCCGCAGCGCGGAACAUGACGGUACACCAGCUUGAUGUGUCUACUGCAUUUUUGAACGGCGAGUUGAAGGAGGAGUUGUGGAUGCAGCAACCACCUGGGUAUGAAUCCAGUGACCGGUCGCUUGCGUGGAAGCUGGAGAGGUCUAUUUACGGUUUGAAGCAGGCACCCCGUUGCUGGUAUGAAAAGCUAUCGGCAGAGUUCGCCAAGCUGGGUCUUUAUCCUUCGAAGUCUGAUCCGGCGAUGUUCGUUAAGACGGACGAGCGUGGGGUCGUUAUUGCUUUGGUGCAUGUAGAUGAUACCAUUGUUGCAUCAGAAGACCCAGACAUGGUCCGGGCAAUUAAAGCCGCAAUUGCGAAGGUCUUCAAGGUGCGUGACCUUGGAGAAGCGAAGGUGUUUGGGGGCAUGGAAAUUUCGGAGGGAAAAAUCGGGUGAGAUAGUGUUGUCGCAGCAUAGGUAUAUUGAGCAGCUGUUGGAGCGUCAUAGGAUGGUUGAUGCCAAGCCGAGGUCUACCCCUUUGCCUCCGGGCUUUAGGUACACUCCUAAGGGGGACGGAGAGGAGCUGCUGGGCAAUCCCACGGAGUAUAGGGCUUUGGUGGGAGGAUUGAACUAUCUGGCGACGAACACGAGGCCUGACAUUUCGUAUGCCUUGAGCGUUUUGUCCCGGCAUAUGGCCACACCUACGAAGACUGCCAUGAACUUGGCCACUGGCGUUCUGCGUUACCUGGCGGGUACUCGCGAACUAGGAUUGCGUUUUGGGGGUGUUGGCGGUGUUGCAAUGUCCGGGUACAGUGAUUCGGACUGGGCAGGAGACCCAGUUACGAGGCGUUCUACGUCCGGUUACGUAUUCACUCUUAAUGGGGCUGCGAUUAGUUGGAGCAGCCAACUUCAACGUACUGUAGCGGCUUCGUCGGUGGAGGCCGAGUAUCAAGCGACAGCAGCAGCUGUUCGCGAGGCUUUGUGGCUUCGCAAGCUGAUGGUUGAUUUGGGUUUGCCUGAGAGCGCUAUUAGAAUCCAAAUAGAUUCCCAGGGGGCGCUUAGCUUGGGAAAUAACCCGAUUACGUCUGCUCGGUCGAAGCACAUCGACGUGCAGCAUCACAUAGUGCGUGAGAGGGUGAAUAGUGGUGAGGUGCAGUUGGAAUACUGCCCUACGGAGUGGAUGGUUGCGGAUGUGCUAACGAAGGCUCUGGGCGAGGUGAAGUUCAAACGUUGCCGAGAUGCUAUGGGCCUUGUGUGAAGUGUGCAGAUGAACUUGGUACUCGUUGGGAUACUGCCCGAGGGGGCGUGUUGAGGAAACGGUCCUCUCCCAACUCGUGUGGUUGUCGACCAGGGGAUUUGACCCCGGGUCUGCGCCUGACUAAUGCGGAAGACUUACCCCAGAACCUUAUGGGCUACCGAUGCAUAUCCGGUAGCUAAGUGAUAGACAUUAGGGCACCGUCAGGACGGCGCAGUGAGAUCGCGGAAUGUACGUGCAGUUAGAUCGCGGAAUGUACGAGUUUUCCGCUAGCGCCGGUAUUUAGGGCGGUGACUGCGCUUAUUUGUUUAUCUCACUACGAUCGGUAUUCCUCAUAGGAAUCUCCUCAAGUCCUGCCGAACGCUAAUAAUACUCUUUAAUAAUACUCUUUACAUUACUUGUAACAUUUUAUCGUGCUAAAUAUCUUCGCCACCGGCAAUCCUUCCGGAAUAACAAUCAGCGUUAGCCGUCACCGUCGCCAAUUCUUCAAUAGGUUCGCGUUAUGUGACAACUCUGCUUGACGACCAUACUGGUCUUUCAGCUGUUGCGUUUACAGCGACCAAGGAGGAGGUCUACCAGAAGAUGGUGGUUAUGAUAGCGGAACUGGAGCGCGCUUCUGGCAGGCAGGUUAAGGAGGUGCGUACGGAUCGUGGCGGGGAGUUCGUUAAUACUCGCACGAAGGCCUAUUUCGCUUCNNNNNNNNNNNNNNNNNNNNNNNNNNNNNNNNNNNNNNNNNNNNNNNNNNUGGCAGUCUCCAUGGCCUCGAUGUUCCUGAAGCGUUCCUCGCCGGGCCGAGCCGCGAGGACGUUGCGCCACGCGUCCUCAAUGUCCAUUACCGCAUUGUAGCAUUUCUCGAUAUGCGCGCGCUGUCCGCUGAGAGACUUGUUCGCUUUGCCCUCGCUGGCGCCGAAGUCACAUUUGAAAUCCUCAAGGGCGACACGGGCCCGCUUCGCCGGUGGACCGUCGACCGCCUGCACGUCAGGCUUCGUGUCCAUAAGCUUCUUAAUGGUUGUCAGCUGCAGCUUCACGGCGUUCAGCUGGUCCAUGGCAGCCAGCUGCUGCUUGUUCAAAAUUACGCCCGGGUCAGCGGCGCGACGCUCCUGCGCAGCCUUGACAUCUUUAUUUUCCUUAAGUGCGACUAGUCGCGCUUUUAGUUCGGUGUACAUCGUGUUGUAGCUGACCGAAGUCUCGCUGUCAGAAUCGGACUUUGUAAUUGAGGGCACACUACCACGAAGCGGAACACCAAGGCCUACAGACCAACCGCUUCACGGCAGCACCCAAACGUAGCUACGAACAACCCGAAUUAGCAAACACUGUCGCGUGCCGCGACACAAGAGCCACACUGGCUCGUACGCCAUACGGCAAAGACACUCCGUAUUCGCAGAAAACCUUAGUUUUCAACGCUUCACGUAGAAAACUGUCAGUUUUCAUGCGAAGACUACGUUACAAACAAGUACCUGCACGCAAGGAAAGAACGUCUUCGUGAAAGGGUAGGGCCGGGUGAGGGCACACUACCACGUGCCCAGGCUUGUUGCAGUAGUAGCAGAUGAGUUCCUGUUGAAGGGCGGUCCUAUCCCAACGUAGAUAAUUGGUGGUUAGGCGAUGAUUCCACCGUGAUAGGCGAUGCCUCGGACGUGCAUCGACCUUGCCUCGGCCGUGCCUAGACCUUGCCUCGGCCAUGCCUAGACUUGCCUCGGCCGUACCUCGACCUUGCCUCGGGUCUCUCGGCCGCGUAUCUCGGACGUGACCUCAGGUCCAGGGAUGGUGGACAUCUGUACGAUACUUCCAUUGGUACUGGUAUAUAAGGCACGAGUUGUGCUAGUCUUUGUAUCUCAUCUUUGUAUGGAUCGGUAUUCCUCAGUAGGAAUCUCCUAAAGUCUUCCAGCCGUUUACCACUCACCUACCGAUUGUAAUACUUAUAUCGCGACCAGUCUCCUUGCCUCC
rnacentral:lncRNA from 1 species